UCCCUCUUAGCUCAGUGGUAGAGCGCGUCACUAGUAUUAGAUAAGCAUGUGGCUUACGUAAUGCGAUGACGAGGUCAGUCGUUCAAAUCGGCUAGCGGGAA